AACGGCAGGCGAGUCUUCGCGAAUAUCCUAUGUAUAUCUCGAAUAUGCCUACCCGAGCGAUAUGGGAGCGAUAUAUUUUUGCAAAUAUUUUGACGCGAUGGCAGCGCCAUGUGGUAGAAUGAAGAAAUAUUAAUGAAAGCAGUCGUGUUGACGGAUGUCAUUGUCAUUUCAUCCAAGAAUGCAAGGAAAAAAAUUUUAAUUUCAAUUUCAAUGUAUAAUUUUUAUUUUCGCCUAAUUUUUCAGGGAUCAAAAGACGCAAACAAAACAUCUUUAUACGUAUAUUCAAAGAAUAAUUUGUAUUAAGCAAACCUUAGUCAAUACAGGUGAUUCUGGAUAUGCUCUAAGUCAGUUGAUGUUGACAUCCAUCCAAAAUGCAUUACCUGCUACUCUAGAAGAAAUAUUCAUCACAGAAGAACUGAAUCCCCUAUAGAGAGAUGCAAUGGGAUUUUAAAAUGGAGGCAUAGAAUUUUACACUCCAACCAUGGCUGAAUAAAAUAAAUAAUAAUGCAUGCACUGUGCUGCACAAUUUGUGCAUUGGUAUGCAUAAUGUACCCCCUAUUGGUUUAGGUGAUGAAGAAAACAACCAUAUAGAUAUUGAUUAUGGAAAUGUCAAUGGAAUAAAUAUAGAAGGUAGAAUUCGUGAUAGAGAUCUGCUCACAGGAAGAAGACUACAACAAAUGCUAAUUCAAAUUAAUUUUAGAAAUUAAUUCAAUAAGUUUGGAAAAAUGUAUGUUCUGUGUUAUUUGUACUUUAUGUAAAUAUUGUUCUGAAGCUAUUUUCUUGUGGCAUUUUUAUGAUUAACUAUUUAGAUGGGAAAUAAGCCACAAUUAAAUUGAAAAAAAUAAUUUUAUUAACGUUUCGACGUCCAAAUCGGGUGUCGUUGUCAAAAUACAAAAGACUACUAAAUUAAACAAAAAUGUUGCUAAGUAAAAAAUUCUUCUAAUAAUUUAUUUAAUCUGACUCAUUUAUAUUGGCAAUUCAGACAUAUAUUAUACAUUUUAAAGUAGAAGACUUUAAAAUGAUAUUGCCAAUAUUUAUGAGUUGCGUUCCUGGGACGACUUAACUGAAAGAUAGUUCAUUCGAUUACAUGAAAUCAACCUCAACUCAAGAAUAUCCAUCACAAAAAAAAUCAUAGCAUGUGAUCUGUCUUUAAAAAGACAACCAAAUGCAAAAAAAGUGAUUUACUAUGGAAUCUCUAACGCGAGAAUUUUACUGUCAUCGUUGCAUUUGGUUGUCUUUUUAAAGACAGAUCACAUGCUAUGAUUUUUUUUUGUGACGGAUAUUCUUGAGUUGAGGUUGAUUUCAUGUAAUCGAAUGAACUAUCUUUCAGUAAAUUCGUCCCAGGAACGCAACUCAUAAAUAUUGGCAAUAUCAUUUUAAAGUCUUCUACUUUAAAAUGUAUAAUAUAUGUCUGAAUUGCCAAUAUAAAUGAGUCAAAUUAAAUAAAUUAUUAGAAGAAUUUUUUACUUAGCAACAACAUUUUUGUUUAAUUUAGUAGUAUUUUGUAUUUUGACAACGACAUCCGAGUUGGGUGUCGAAACGUUAAUAAAAUUAUUUAUUUAAUUGUGGCUUAUUUCCUAUCUAAAUAGUUAAUUAUGUAAAUAUGUAGUGUGUUAGCUGUUGUUUUAUGAACAACAUAAAACAUUAUGUGAAAUAUUGACUGUAUGUUAUCCAUGACACAGAACAAAAGUUAAAAUGCAUGUUUUUACAUUUGUAGCCUUUUAAUAACCUUAUCAUAAUAUAAUAAAAUAAAUGCAAAGAAAUUUAUGUCUCAGUAAGUUGGAACCAUGGACGUAUAAAUAAAGAUAUAUCUUUAUUUAUACGUCCAUGGUUGGAACCAUAUGAAAAACUUUUUUAUUAUCAAUUUUAGGAACAAGUUAUUCUUUCUAAAAGCUUUGCAUGAUUUGAAACCUUUAAACAACCAUCAAAUAUAAAAAAUUUUCAGUUGUAUACUAGGUUUGUCAAAAAAUAUGAAUUUUAUUAAAGAGUAAACUACCUUUCAUUUUUCACAAUAUCCAAAAUUAUUAUUAACCCUAGAACCACGAAGUGGGGUCACCUGUGACCCCACCGCUCAAAUUUUUUUGACAUGCGAGUUACUCCGAUGAUACGUAUGUUUUUAUGAAAGUUCACAUUUAGUCGUAAAUGCAGCACAUUUCUGAUUUUUGACCCCACCUGAGGAUAGAAAAGGCUGCUAUAUUUGUGUUUACUGUGCAGAACAUCAAUUUAGUAUUUGUAAAGAUUGUAAAUAAUAUAAAAAUAAACUAUUCAACUUCUAA
rnacentral:lncRNA from 1 species